rnacentral:rRNA from 1 species
UACGUAGGGCGCAAGCGUUAUCCGGAAUUAUUGGGCGUAAAGAGCUCGUAGGCGGUUUGUCGCGUCUGCCGUGAAAGUCCGGGGCUCAACUCCGGAUCUGCGGUGGGUACGGGCAGACUAGAGUGAUGUAGGGGAGACUGGAAUUCCUGGUGUAGCGGCGAAAUGCGCAGAUAUCAGGAGGAACACCGAUGGCGAAGGCAGGUCUCUGGGCAUUAACUGACGCUGAGGAGCGAAAGCAUGGGGAGCGAACAGG